rnacentral:sRNA from 1 species
AUGUAAACCUGAAUGACGCGGUAGCUCCCGAUUUUUUUCUAAUCGGGAAUACGAGCAGAAAGAGCAGGACUAACA